CAGUUUCGGGACUUCCGCUGUUCUGGUGGCUGCGCAGAGCUGUAGACCCUCCGCGACGUCCGUGGGAGGGCUGGGGUCAGGACUCAGCCGGCGGGUCGUGCGCCUGUGCCUCACUCAGCCCUGACCCCCACCGGCGCGGGUCGUCGGAGAAAGUUGUCCGGAAGAGCUGUCCUGUCGUCUCCAAUUAUUUAUUCACCUAUUUAUUGAUAUCAAUAUGGACUCGUGGAAAAAUCUGUUAAAAUUCAGGAGCGCCUGAGUGGCUCAGUGGAUUAAGUAUUGGAUUUCGCCUUGCAUCAUGAUCUCAUGGUUCCUGGGUUCCAGCCCUGCCGCUGGCAGCGAGGAGCCUGCUUGGGAUUCUCUCUCUCUCUCCCUCUCUCCUCCUCCUUGACUCAUGCUUUCUCUCUCUCUCUCUCUCUAAAAAUAAAUAAAUAAACUUUAAAUAAAUAAAAAUAAAAUUCAGAUUAAGUACACUCAUUA